rnacentral:lncRNA from 1 species
GGCAAGGAACCAGGGGUCUUGUUAGGAAGUUAUUCUAGUGGUCCAGGUUAGCAAGAAGGAUGGAAGGCAACAUCAACAAAUCAACUGGGGGCACAGUAUGUUUGAGAUACUCUAGAAGAUCCAGGUCCUGGGUUGUCUUGGCUCCCAGGUAAGAGAAAGAGUGUCUACAGCCUCCAAGCCCCAGAAGAGAAGCGGUUGCACUAGAAGAUUUUUGUGAGUUACCUAAGACCCUGUGGCUAUGUCUUGGUAGAACUCCGUAGAAUGCCAGGUUUCCUGAUUUUCCUAAAAGUGUGUUCAGUCUUUCAAGCUGUCAUCAACUAUUAACAAUGACACUUUCCUCUGGCUUUGUGCCAACUUUUCUUUUUGUUUAUUAUUCUGGCCAUAAAAAGACCACCAUAAAUAGCCUCAGCGUUUCAGGUUCCCUUAAUUGAUAUCUAAUGUUGACAAAUUAACUCAGCCCGAGUUGAAAGCUCCAUAUACACACACAUGGUUUCAAGAAGGGCGAUCGCGCUUAUCCUCCAAACUGAGCAGUGAUGAUCCCUGGACUUCUCAAGUUUACCCUCUAGGAGGCUGACAUGGCACACAAUUUUGACAAGAGUUUGGAACCAAGAUCCUCUUCCACGCCCUGCUCACAAGGGUGCCCACAAGCAGAAGUUCUCUCUCUGUCUCUCCAUUACAACCCACCAGGCGCGCGCGCACACACACACGCGCGCACACACACACACACACAAAUAACAAAGGAAAACACAGCCUCAUAAAGGCUCAGCUAUUGCAUCCUCCAGUCCACACCUGCCAAAAGACAAAAACCAUGCGGGAAUCCUGCUCUGGCAAUAUGUCCAACACUUCUCGGGAAAAGCAGCGCCGUGGCACCCCCAGGGCGUGCGCUGCUGUAUACACACAAAGAACUGGUGCUGGGCUUGCGAGCAGUUCGGGGUACCAGCACGCUCUCAGGGCUGGAAUCCGGGGUUCUCCUCCACGCCCUCCCGCCCAGCAAAAUGGAACCAUCCUUUAUUUGGUUGGUAGAGAGCCCAGGCUGGAUAGUAGCGCAUGGGUUGAGGGUGGGCGGUCCCCUAUCCCUACCCUCCAGGCAGCAGGUCCCUAGCCUUUGCAUCUCCUAGGAGAUGCAGGAUCGCGCUGUCACAGUGGUCCUCUUCGCAUCCUCUCCCGGCAAAGAGAGAUGCUCCGGUUACCAGCGGCGCGCAUCCCCGCAGGCGCCUCUCCUCUCGCCGAUACCCACCCAGGCAGUCCCGACAGGCGCGCCUGCCUAC